CGCACCACCAUGGGAGAACUGGUGAUCCAGUGCCGAAGGAGCAACCGCCCCCGGAAACUCUCAGGCUGCAGGACCAUGGGGUAAAU
rfam:Rhodobacteraceae bacterium HIMB11 HIMB11_contig32.12, whole genome shotgun sequence.